AUGUCGCAUAUGAGGCUUUUUUCAAGAGUCGGGCUGAGUGAAAAAGUAUAUGCAAUGCGGUACUGUAGCGGACGGCAACCAAACACGGCCCAAAGAAAUGUGCCACACGCCUUCCUCGGUGCAGUCGACGGACGCAGCGUAAACGGGUCACAGGCUACAGGCCACGUGCACCGGCUCGCGUCGCAGCCACUGGUUUCCCGACUUUCCCGCUUGGCGUCGUUCCUUGGUUCGGGCUACGCGCUGCCCCGUUCUCGUCGUUUCCAGCCUGGGCGGACGAGCCGAAACCGUGGACGCUGGACGCCUCACCGGACGGAUCCGGCACGUUCCAACACGUCGGCGUCUUCUUCCCUCCACUUCACCUGGACGCGGAACCCGCUGAAGAACGCCCCGUCACGACGCACCUUCUCACCCACAGCUUUGGGCCGAGAGAAAUACUAA
rnacentral:rRNA from 1 species